GCCUGGGUAGCUCAGUCGAUUGGGUAUCUGACUUCAGCUCAGGUCACGAUCUUGUGGUUGGUGGGUUCGAGCCCCACAUUGGGCU
rnacentral:tRNA from 1 species